GCCGGGGUGGCGGAAUGGCAGACGCAGGAGACUUAAAAUCUCCCGGGGUAACCCCCCGUGCGGGUUCGAGUCCCGCUCCCGGCACCA
rnacentral:tRNA from 1 species